CAAACUUUUAUUAACCAAACAAGACAGUGUGAAGGCAUAAAAACUGGCACUGAUUUUCUCUGUGAAUUGCUGCAUUUCUAGCACUAUGUGUCCUCCUAAACCAAGACUGCAAAUCUGUGCUCUUCGCUAAAGCUGAGCAUAUGAUCCUUAAGGAUGCAAAGGAAAAUGGAGAGCUGUGCUUGGAGGGUUUCCAGCUGAUCAAUUGGGAAAAGGGCAGCCAUAGACCUGAGUAUGCUGACCAGGAGAAAAGCUAGGGAGAAAGAGGCAUAUUUUGCCAGCUGCACUCCCAGUUAUUUAGCCCGCAGCUGUAGCUGGGGAGAGGGUGAGCAGCGUGUAAGGUGAAUGCAAGCUCACAUCCACUCAAGGUAACUCAUUUUCUCAUUACUGAGAAGUGUGCUGCACAUGUUGGCAACAUCCUGCAGGCACUGGUUUCAGGCCUCCCCUGUGACAGGGCUGCUUGCUGCAAGGCAAAAACAUGGAAUGCAUGGACAACGUCCAUGCUGACUGGACAUGGAAUGACUGUCUGUGACCUACUUGUCAGCCUCAAGUUAUUUCAGUGUGACAGAGAUCGGCUCCCUCACACUGCCGUUCCAACCUCAGAAGCUGAAAAAGUCCAGGGAAAACUCAGCUCUGCCUCCAGUCCUGGGCUGGGGUCGCAGAUAAAAUGAGUGCCUGCAUGAAGCAGGCUGGGAUUGCAAGGAUCUGGGCAAGCAGAGGUAACAUCUGACCAACAGCUGCAGCGUGGCUGAGGCCAGCAUGGCACUGUGCACACAGGAAGAAGCCCAUCCAGCAGACCUGAGAGGGCAGCAGGCUCCAAGCAGCUGAAGAGGUGUUUCGGAACAGCACUGCUUCCGCAAGGGCAGCUGUAUCUGUAGCUGGAGCCUAAUUGCCCCAGUGGCUUCCACCAUAUGCAAAGGUCUCUCAAGAGGCUCUGGGGCCCCUGCUGUUGGGAUCAUGUUCCAACUAGAGGGAGGCAGUCCUGGCAGGCACUCCACCAGAUGCAGGAAUGACUUUAUAGGCAGCACUUGGCAUUCUGAGCACAUCAGAGGGUAUGUAAUUUGGUGUGCUCCUACUCAGUGCUCAUGCCCUGGGAAGUGCCAAAAAUACAAGGCAAGUACUAAGUUAAAGCACUUCCUCUUCCAUGGGCUGGAAGAUGUCAACCCACAGAGGCUCAUGACAACAGGUAAUGACUGACUUGACUCUUUCAAUUAAAUCAGGGUGAGAAGAUGUCAAAGCGGCAAUUAGGAGUGAAGUGUUUAAAGAAAAGAGACAAUUUGAACAGAAUCACCAUUUUCAUCUCAAUAUCGUUACAUGUCUCUUAUUUAGAACAGAUGUCUCCUCAUUCUGUGCAAAACAGAAAAGGACCUGUGAGGUCUAAAAUACUGGCUCAUACACAACAAUUUCUGGCUUCUGACAGCAAAUCCACUGCCUCAGACUGUGCCAAACCAAACCACCUAAUAAUUCUGGGUCCAUCAAGGCUGGCUUUGCAGUGCCCAAAUCUCAGAUGACAUAAUUUUCUCCUCCUUACACCUGUAAACACUGUUCUAUCCCAUUGAAGUCAAACCUGUGCCACAUGCAUUGUAGUUGUGUUUUAGGCCCUCAGAUUCACAACUGAGUUGAUUUUGUUCACAGAGAAAAGACACCAUCAGUCAUCAAAGUUUGGUAAGCUCUUUAAUGGGAAGCUCAUGGUGUAAUGACACUGCUGGAUUUAACACCUUGGUGGUAAAUGAGGAUCAGAGGAAGGAGAAUCAGAAGGCAGGCAGUGCUCCACUGAAGGCUUACACCUUUCAAAGUGCUGAACAAAAGGGCAACUUCUUUUGCUGACUCCUUUCACAGCUUUAUAGUCCCAAAAACAGAUAGGUCUUCCAGCCAGAAAAAUGGUGGAAACCAAACCAAAGACAGCCUUGGCAUGGUGUGGCACAUGAUUUCUGCUUGAUGUGUGGAGGGCUGACUAGUCCCUGCAUUAGUAAAGGAAAACUUGACAAAAGAGUUGCAUUGACUGAAAUCCAGAGCUGACAUUUCUACCACCACCACCCCUGAAGAUGAAAGCUUCUUUUACAUGCAGUGUUACCACAGAUCUUUGCCUACAUGAGCAACAGCAUGUUGGUACAGAAAGAGAAUUUCAAAGUUCAAUGUAUUUUACAUGAAACCAGUAAGCUUCACUGUAGUCAGGAAUAACUAGUUCAAAGAAGUUUGGGUUUUUUUUCUUGUAGACAAAUGAAGGCCCUUUUCAUUAAUCUGUAGGUUUUUUUUAUAUCCAAGCUCAUAGCGACAGUGCAGUGCUACUCAGCUCUGUAUAAACUGGGGUUUGCAUUAAUGUGGGUGUGUCUUUAGGGACUGUCUUUCUUGAAAAAAAAAAUCACCAAUGAUAAAAAAAAA